GCACUUCUGAGGAGUGCCACAAUAAGACGAAACGGCCGUCCAGUGC
rnacentral:hammerhead_ribozyme from 1 species